UACGAAGGGUGCAAGCGUUGUUCGGAAUUAUUGGGCGUAAAGGGUUCGUAGGCGGGUAAUUAAGUCAAUUGUGAAAGACCAGGGCUCAACCCUGGAGCUGCGAUUGAGACUGUUUAUCUUGAGUAUCUGAGAGGGUGGUGGAAUUGCUGGUGUAGGAGUGACAUCCGUAGAGAUCAGCAGGAACACCGGAGGCGAAGGCGGGUCUCUGGGCCGUUACUGACGCUGGAGGAGCGGAAAGCAUGGGGAGCGAACAGG
rnacentral:rRNA from 1 species